CUGUGGUGGAUUCAGUCGGAUAUGUAUUCGGCUUCGCGCCGGGAAAUUUCCCAAACCAAAUCAUCUAGAGGAAGUAAAAGUCGUAACAAGGUUUCCGUAGGUGAACCUGCGGAAGGAUCAUUA
rnacentral:ncRNA from 1 species